GUCUAUGGCCACGCUAUCCUGAACAAGCCCAAUCCUGUCUGAUCUCAGAAGCUAAGCAGGGUCAGGCCUGGUUAGUACUUGGAGAUACCACCUAGGAAGACUAGGUGCUAUAGGCA
rnacentral:rRNA from 1 species